AACGAACGCUGGCGGCGUGUCUUAAGCAUGCAAGUCGUGCGGCAAGGCGGGGCAACCUGCCCUAGAGCGGCGGACUGGUGAGUAACGCGUGGGUGAUCUGCCCUUGGGAUGGGGAUAGCCUCUAGAAAUAGAGGGUAAUACCGAAUACGUUCGGCGGGGUAAGCCCGUCGAGGAAAAGCGCUUCGGCGCUGCCCGAGGAUGAGCCCGCGUCCCAUUAGCUAGUUGGUGAGGUAACGGCCCACCAAGGCUAUGAUGGGUAGCCGGCCUGAGAGGGUGUACGGCCACACUGGGACUGAGAUACGGCCCAGACUCCUACGGGAGGCAGCAGCUAAGAAUAUUCCGCAAUGGACGAAAGUCUGACGGAGCGACGCCGCGUGGAUGACGAAGGCCGAAAGGUUGUAAAGUCCUUUUGUUGGGGAAGAAUAACCAUGGGAGGGAAUGCCCGUGGGAUGACAUGAACCGACGAAUAAGCCCCGGCUAACUACGUGCCAGCAGCCGCCGUAA
rnacentral:rRNA from 1 species